rnacentral:rRNA from 1 species
UACGUAGGGGGCAAGCGUUGUCCGGAAUUAUUGGGCGUAAAGCGCACGUAGGCGGACUCUUAAGUCGGUGGUGAAAUCCUGGAGCUCAACUCCAGAACUGCCUUCGAUACUGGGAGUCUCGAGUUCGGGAGAGGUGAGUGGAACUGCGAGUGUAGAGGUGAAAUUCGUAGAUAUUCGCAAGAACACCAGUGGCGAAAGCGGUCGCCUGGCGAGCCCCUGACGCUCAGACACGAAAGCUAGGGGAGCGAACGGG